AUGUCUAAUCAUGGAAUAGUCAACGUUGAUGGGAAUCAGGCAAUUGUCAUAGGGUCAGUUGGUGGAAUAACUGCUGUCAUGGUUCUUGUGGUUCUUAUUAUUGUUGUGUGCAAGAGCAGGGGAAAAUGCUCCAAAGCAACAAAAGAGACAGGAAGCACACAACAUGGAGAGCAGGAUGCAGCAAGCCCUGUGUAUGCCAAUGUCUCAGGAAUGCCCAUGAGACCCACUGAUCAACAGGAUUUGACACUAUACUCCACAGUUCAACCCCAUUCCAAGAGCAGUAAAGAUGUUCUGUAUUCCACGGUGCAGCAACCAUACUCCCACAAUGAGGAUGAGCUUCAGUACUGCAGUAUUCAAUUCCCCACUACCAGUACUGGCAGCAGGUCAGCAGUUCAACAGAUACAAGAUAAUUCUGUCAUCUACAGCACAGUUUCCAAAAAAUAAGAAACAAUUCUCUUUACAUAUCAGUUGUCUUGACACAUUUCAAUGUUUUCAUCCAUGUUUUUGUACUACAUUAUUGCAUCUGCACCCAUUUUACUUUAAUAUUAUAUGUUACAGCUUAUCUUUUGUUGGUUUACUAUAGUAAAAACCUCAAGGGAAACUAUAGAAAUUGAUAUUUAUAAAGUUUUAUUCAUAUUGUGUUAUA
rnacentral:lncRNA from 1 species